CCUACGGGAGGCAGCAGUGGGGAAUAUUGGGCAAUGGAGGAAACUCUGACCCAGCGACGCCGCGUGCGGGAUGAAGGCCUUCGGGUUGUAAACCGCUUUCAGUAGGGAAGAAGCGAAAGUGACGGUACCUACAAAAGAAGCACCGGCUAACUAUGUGCCAGCAGCCGCGGUAAUACAUAGGGUGCAAGCGUUGUCCGGAAUUAUUGGGCGUAAAGAGCUCGUAGGUCGUUUGUUACGUCGGAUGUGAAAACCUGAGGCUCAACCUCAGGCCUGCAUUCGAUACGGGCAAACUAGAGUUUGGUAGGGGAGACUGGAAUUCCUGGUGUAGCGGUGGAAUGCGCAGAUAUCAGGAGGAACACCAAUGGCGAAGGCAGGUCUCUGGGCCAAUACUGACACUGAGGAGCGAAAGUCUGGGGAGCGAACAGGAUUAGAUACCCUGGUAGUCCAGACCGUAAACGGUGGGCACUAGUUGUGGGAACCUUCCACGGUUUCUGCGACGCAGCUAACGCAUUAAGUGCCCCGCCUGGGGAGUACGAUCGCAAGAUUAAAACGUUAAAUGAAUUGACGGCUGAGAGNGCGAGACGACGACGAGGAGAG
rnacentral:rRNA from 1 species